rnacentral:rRNA from 1 species
UACGUAGGGCGCAAGCGUUGUCCGGAAUUAUUGGGCGUAAAGAGCUCGUAGGUGGUUUGUCGCGUUGUUCGUGAAAACUCACGGCUUAACUGUGAGCGUGCGGGCGAUACGGGCAGACUGGAGUACUGCAGGGGAGACUGGAAUUCCUGGUGUAGCGGUGGAAUGCGCAGAUAUCAGGAGGAACACCGGUGGCGAAGGCGGGUCUCUGGGCAGUAACUGACGCUGAGGAGCGAAAGCGUGGGGAGCAAACAGG